UACGGAGGAUGCGAGCGUUAUCCGGAUUUAUUGGGUUUAAAGGGUGCGUAGGCGGCUUUUUAAGUCAGCGGUGAAAUUUUGCAGCUUAACUGUAACAGUGCCGUUGAUACUGGGGAGCUAGGAUUUGGUUGCUGUGGGUGGAAUGUGCGGUGUAGCGGUGAAAUGCUUAGAGAUCACGCAGAAUAUCGAUUGCGAAGGCAGCUCACAAAGCCAAGAUUGACGCUGAGGCACGAAAGUGUGGGGAUCAAACAGGAUUA
rnacentral:rRNA from 1 species